rnacentral:rRNA from 1 species
CAUGCAGUCGAGGGGCAGCAUGAACUUAGCUUGCUAAGUUUGAUGGCGACCGGCGCACGGGUGAGUAACACGUAUCCAACCUGCCGAUGACUCGGGGAUAGCCUUUCGAAAGAAAGAUUAAUACCCGAUGGCAUAGUUCUUCCGCAUGGUAGAACUAUUAAAGAAUUUCGGUCAUCGAUGGGGAUGCGUUCCAUUAGGUUGUUGGCGGGGUAACGGCCCACCAAGCCUUCGAUGGAUAGGGGUUCUGAGAGGAAGGUCCCCCACAUUGGAACUGAGACACGGUCCAAACUCCUACGGGAGGCAGCAGUGAGGAAUAUUGGUCAAUGGACGAGAGUCUGAACCAGCCAAGUAGCGUGAAGGAUGACUGCCCUAUGGGUUGUAAACUUCUUUUAUACGGGAAUAGAGUGAGGCACGUGUGCCUUUUUGUAUGUACCGUAUGAAUAAGGAUCGGCUAACUCCGUGCCAGCAGCCGCGGUAAUACGGAGGAUCCGAGCGUUAUCCGGAUUUAUUGGGUUUAAAGGGAGCGUAGGCGGACGCUUAAGUCAGUUGUGAAAGUUUGCGGCUCAACCGUAAAAUUGCAGUUGAUACUGGGUGUCUUGAGUACAGUAGAGGCAGGCGGAAUUCGUGGUGUAGCGGUGAAAUGCUUAGAUAUCACGAAGAACUCCGAUUGCGAAGGCAGCCUGCUGGACUGUAACUGACGCUGAUGCUCGAAAGUGUGGGUAUCAAACAGGAUUAGAUACCCUGGUAGUCCACACAGUAAACGAUGAAUACUCGCUGUUUGCGAUAUACAGUAAGCGGCCAAGCGAAAGCGUUAAGUAUUCCACCUGGGGAGUACGCCGGCAACGGUGAAACUCAAAGGAAUUGACGGGGGCCCGCACAAGCGAAG